CCUACGGGUGGCAGCAGUGAGGAAUAUUGGUCAAUGGCCGGAAGGCUGAACCAGCCAAGCCGCGUGAAGGACGAAGGUGCCAAGCAUUGUAAACUUCUUUUGUCAAGGGACAAAAUCAGGCUCGAGAGCCUGACCGAGGGUACUUGAAGAAAAAGCAUCGGCUAACUCCGUGCCAGCAGCCGCGGUAAUACGGGGGAUGCGAGCGUUAUCCGGAUUUAUGGGGUUUAAAGGGUGCGUAGGCGGGCUGUUAAGUCAGCGGUAAAAGCCCGGGGCUCAACCCCGGCGAGCCGUUGAAACUGGCUGUCUUGAGAUGUCGAGAGGGAGGCGGAAUGCGCAGUGUAGCGGUGAAAGGCGUAGAUAUUGCGCAGAACUCCGAUUGCGAAGGCAGCAUACCGGCGGCGAUCUGACGCUGAGGCACGAAAGCGUGGGUAUCGAACAGGAUUAGAUACCCCAGUAGUC
rnacentral:rRNA from 1 species